rnacentral:tRNA from 1 species
GCCCGAAUGGUGGAAUUGGUAGACACGCGGGACUCAAAAUCCCGUUUCGCGAGAAGUGAGGGUUCGAUUCCCUCUUCGGGCACCA